rfam:Aerococcus viridans ATCC 11563 = CCTG 4311 strain ATCC 11563 contig00023, whole genome shotgun sequence.
GCGGCUAUGGCGGAAUGGCAGACGCGCUGCCUUGAGGGGGCAGUGAGAGUAUUCUCGUGCAAGUUCAAAUCUUGUUAGCCGCA